GCGAGAUGACGAUGAAAUUCAUGUCUGUCAAUCCACUGAUUUACUGUGAUGUUAAAUCUGAAUACCUACGGGUUCUGAUCGC